GAAGGUUAUUCCUUGAAGUAACGCCGUCGACAAAAGCCAGACAGCUAGCUUUACUCACAGCUGAAACUAGCGUACAAGCGGUAUUCUUGACACGUUUAGGAUAAAAUAAACAUUUUCUCAUUUUUUGCAGUGAAGGCUUCAGCCCUACAGAUGGAGACAUUUCACAAAGUAUUCUCAGAGCUCUCCUGCUUCCUGUUCCUGUCUUCUUCCAGUGGGAGGCAUGCAAGGAAUUUAAUGGAGGAGAAAAGGUGUUACUGACAGCCCACCAAUGCAUCGAGGAGUGAAAAUGUCCCAGCCAUGUUCCCAGUCAUGGUAUGAGUCCUCUGGACACUGGCUUUAGUACGCUCCCAGGAUCCCAGCUGUAGGCCUGUAGAGGCCUCUGCAACACAAUAAGGACCAUUGAGCUCCUCUGCAGCCCUGGGCCUGGUUGGAGUCCACCGUUUGAAUUCUCUCACUGAACAGAGGUCAACGGUAAUCAACCCAAACACUGCCAGACCAUUUUCCGACACAGCAUUCAGCACACUGCUCUGUUCUUCAACACCACUCGUAGUUGUUGAUGACUUGCACAUGUCAACAAGUAAACACAAUGUUACAGAGAUAAAACAGAUGAACAUGCUGUCCCCUCAUUGAGAUAGAAGGAGGGAAACC